rnacentral:rRNA from 1 species
UACGAAGGGGGCGAGCGUUGUUCGGAAUCACUGGGCGUAAAGGGCGCGUAGGCGGCCCUUCUUGUCGCGUGUGAAAGCCCCGGGCUCAACCUGGGGGCUGCGCUUGAUACUGAUUGGCUUGAAUGCGGGAGAGGAUAGUGGAAUUCCCAGUGUAGAGGUGAAAUUCGUAGAUAUUGGGAAGAACACCGGUGGCGAAGGCGGCUAUCUGGCCCGUAAUUGACGCUGAGGCGCGAAAGCGUGGGGAGCAAACAGG